UUGCAAAUAACGCCUGUGAAAUUUUUCAACAUAUGGCAUCUGACACUUCCAGGUUGGACAGUGUUGAAGUGCACAGGUAGAUAAAAAAUAUUUAAAAUUAUUGGAUAAUAAAUUAAUGAAUAAAAAUAAAUCAAUAAAUGAAAUUAGUAAAUGUUUACUAAUUUGGAGUUACAAUUUGGAGUCACAAUUGGUCGUGUAUGCAAAAAAAGGGAAAAUCUGCUACUUAAGGUUAACCUUCGUCUUUCUCCCUUCCCUCUCACCAAUUGGUACCGAUUUCUUUAACUCUUACUUCCUCUCUUUCAUUUAUUUUUCUUUUCAUUCCAAAUCCCUAAUCUCAAUUGCAAUUUCCUUUAUUUCUUUAUUCACGCUCCUCUGAUCAUUUACCUUUGUCUUUUUAUCCGCUGACGAGUUCCACCGAUUUCGUUUGUUCAUUUUAUCCCAGUAACUCUCUCACGCAAGCACCAAUUUCGUCCUCCCAUAGCAGAUCUAUGUUAAUGUAUUUCAUCAUCCU
rnacentral:lncRNA from 1 species